GUGUCCUGUCCCGAGGAGGCCUUCCUGCAGGCCUUCAGGCUGCUCAGAGACGAUGACUGGGAGCAGAAGAUUGAGGCCCUGAUCUCCAUCAGGUCUCUGUCCCAGCACCACGCUGAGGUGCUGCUGCCCAGGCUGCAUGAUGUGUGUCUGGUCGUCUACCACGAGGUGAAGAACCUGCGCUCCAUGGUUUCCCG